GAAUCAUGAGAUUCGCAGGCAAAUGGAUGACACUAGAAGAAACCAUCCUGAGUGAGGGAAGAUGCUAUGAACAGCACAUGUCAUGGAUAAACUCUGGAAAUCACCCACAGAAGACUGGGAACUCUCCUUUUGGGUCUUGCUUCAUGAGCGCACUGAGCCAUAAUUGCAGUGGACUAAUGGCCUCACCAGGGAGAACCGUCUAAGCAAUUUAUUUCUCACAGUUUUGAAGGCUGUAAAGCCAAGCUUAGAGUUUCCCUUUGGUGUCUGAUGAGAGCUUUCUUCUUUGCUUACUAAUGACUACGUUCUUAAGGGUGUCUUUAACAUGGAGGAGAAAAAACAGUGUUUUUUUCCUUUUUUUAAAUGGAUAUCUUAUGGAUCUAGAAUGAUGUUGACUGCACAUCCCUCUCACCAUAACUCCUUCUGAAGCCUCAUACUCCAUCAUUCCAUUGUUCCCUGGACAGCUUCUCGUUAUCUCUGGUCAUGCUUUAUAAACCUCAGGGAAGCAUCUGAAAAAUUUACUUCUGCUGUUUUUGUUCUUUCCUUCUAUCCUGAUAAUUUUAAUAGCAAACAUUUAGAUUUUGUUUGACUUUUUAUGAGGGCCUCCAUGUUGCUUGACAUGAAGCUACAUUUUGCUUGGGAAACCUUUGCCAUGACUCAUGGGGGUGAGGCUCUAUGAUCUCAGUUUUCCCUUCUGCUUUCUUUCUGGGUUUUAAUGAUUCCAUUCAUCCUCUUUCGCCUGCAGAGGGAACUGCUGCCUGAGUCACAACCUACAAAUUAAGAGUUAGUAUUUGUCUAGCAUACAUGACCUUGUUCUCUGUGUAGACUUCCCGAGGCUGUAAGAUACAGAGAGGAAAGUGAAUCUUGGAAACACCAGCCACAUAUAGUUUCACUAUCAUUGGCCAUGAAGAAAGGCAGAGGUUAGUGCACAUGUAUGAAAGGUACAACUGUAAAUUAUCAAAAGAACUAAACGAUGCUAAGGCUGCCAUGUAAGACUUAGCUGACAUCACAAAGAACUCAGAAACUGCAUUGGUGCAUCUGUGGCAUUCCCAGACACAACAAAGCAACACAGAUUAUCAUCCUUGAAUGAAUCCAGGUGCCAGGGGCAAUUGGUUUGAUACAAGUCUCCAUAUGUAGAGUCAGAUCCUACCGUAGAGAAUGAUUGGCCCCAGCUCAUAAGUUUUACUAGUGUGAUGUUCAUAGACACAGGAAGUCAAAGGGAAAUUCACAGGCAGCAAACAGGAACUAGUGCCUCUUCUAGUUUGCAGCAUCUUUCUAGUAUCCCAUGCUUAGGAAGUUUUAACUGGAUACAGUUGGCAGAGUCCUGUCUCCAGCUUUGCAGAGCUGAAGGUAAAAGGCAGGAUGUGGUUCUGAGACAAAAGGUUGAUAACCAGCAAAGCAAGGAACAUUCCUGUCUGAGGCAAACUCCUCAAACACACAGAUACUUAUACCUCUCAGUCAUUGUUCACAUUUCAAAACAUUGGCAAAAUAACGGUGAUAAAUUAGACUAGCCCAAUAUAGAAUAAAAACUAGAAAAUCACUUUAGUCUUAACUGGAAUUCAUUAACAGUGUUUUGACUAAUGGAUGCAACUCUGACUCAUAGUAUCGAAAGAUUGAGAGGAAGGGCAGGAUUAAUGAUAUAAAACAUGAUUUCAGAAGGGGUUUCCUUUGUUCAUAGAACUGAUUGUCUUACAAAAAAAGCUCAUGGUAUUCCUUAAUAACGAUUACUAAACAUUGGAGGUGUGAUUUGAAUGUGCAGGCAAACUAAAUAUAGAAAGCUGGAGAUUAUCUUGUUGUUGGGGAAUUCCAAAUGCGUGGAGUCCAGGAAAGAGCAAGGUGGAAACCACCAGGGUGGCGGAGUGAAGGUGAGAGUGGGAUCUCAUUGGAGAGCUGGAAACACAGCAUUCCGAGCUGGUGCCCUGGGGAAGGAAGCAAAACCGACCUGACUUGGCAGAGCUAUAGAGGUGGCUGCUGGGAGCAGAAACCAUCAGCUCAUACAACUGUAUAAAGGGAAUCUGGAACUGAGGAACAGGAUAGGAAAAUGGCCCAGUGCUCAUGAGAAAAACAAUUAGGGAAAGAGAGGGUUAAUAGUAAUGAGAAUACAGAGAAGUCAAUAAACUUUCCUGUCUCUGAGAGGAAACUGUUUCUCCUUUGAACAAAAGGAUGAAAACAGCAAAGUAGAAGAGAAAAACAAACAAACAAACAAAAAACAAGCUACAAGGAAAGGGUGGAUAAAAAUAAAAAGUGGCUUUUCACUGGAAAGCAGAAUAUGGGAAGCUUAUGGGAUAUGUUUAAGGAAUUAUACUUAAGGAAGUAAAGGUAUAAUUGUCAAAGUUAUAGUACUUUGUUAGUAAAGAAGACAAGACAGGGGAAUCAACAGCAUCUCUCUGACAUAUUUACUAGGUUGUCAUGUCUGUUUUCUUGAUACCAGUACACUUAGAGAAAUGGUGUCAGAGGGCCUGGACCAUCUCUCAUUUGUAAAAUGCCUGCCCAGCAAGCACAAGGACCUGCAUUCAGGUCCCCCAGUGUGCCUGUAGUUCCAGUGUGGGUUCCAGUGUUCCAAGGUGGGAAGUAGGUGGAGAUCACAGGACUUCUGGGGCUUGCUGGAGAACCAGCUCAGCCGAAGAUCUAAGCUCCGGGUUUAGUGAGAGACCGAGGCUCAAAAUAGAGAGUACAUGAGGAAGACAGGUGACAUGGACUGCUGACCUCUACAAGCAUCUGAGUACACAUGUACACGUACACAUGUGCAACAUACAAAUGUGAAAAAGAACACACAAAAAUGAUGCUGUUAAUUUUAUACAGAAGAUUGAAUGAAAGUAGUAUGUCUUUGAGAAGAAAUAUUUCUUCCAGGUAGCCCUGCUUCCUUUAAAGUUAAUUCAUCUUAUCAGAUUACCCCCAUUGAAAUAAUAUCUGAAUAUUCUUUUCCUGAAUCCUGUAGGUCAUUUACCUCUUUUCAGGGAGUGGUUUUGAGACAGUGUUUCUCUGUGUAAUAGCCGUAGCUGCCUUGGAACUAGCUCUGUAGACCAGGGUGGUCUUGAAAUCACAGAGAUCUGUUUGCCUCUGCCUCCUGAGUGCUGAAAUCAAAGAUGUGGACCACCGCUGCAGGGUUAACUCUUUAAAGAUCUAUUUUCUCUCUCACACCCAAGGAGACAUUGAAGUGACCCUUGAGUCCUGUGCUGCUUCUUCUUGCCUUCUUUUUUUUUUUUUUUUUUUAAGUAGGAUCUCACUAUAUAGCCUUAACUGAUCUGGAACUCAGGGACCACCACUUGCCUCUGCCUCUGUUGGAAUCAGGGAGAACUACCUGCUUCUGUUGGGAUCACAGGCAUACACAGCAAGCCUUGGUUUGCUUAUUAGUUUGUUUUUGGUUGUGGGUCUCUUUAUAGAAAGGACCCAGCUUUGCAGGAGGUCCUGAUGGGCUCAUCUUUAGAAGAUCCUUGAGCUAGCCCAAGCAGACUGAUCACCGCAAUCAGAUUAGAUCCCUUUUGGCAAUUACGAAUAGCUCAAAGAAACUUAUACUUCAAGUUGCUUCUUAUCUUUUUUACCUCUCUGGUACCUACUCAGAAGAAUACAUGCCACGUGUGAGACAGUCUGGACUCUGUUCAUCAUCCUGCUUUUUGCUUUUGUUUGAAGCUAUGCAACACAUUAGUUUCCCUUAGAGAGACGAGAGAAGCCGAAGCAGGCCACCUUAUCCGCAUAAGGACAUUCAGACAGCUGGUAUCCAUGCUGCUUUCAGGUAAGCAUGCAUUCAACAGCUGGAUUGCUGUUUUGUUUUUAUUUUUGUUGUUUGUUUUUUACUCAUCCCCAUGACAUCAGCAUUAGUUCCUGAUUUGAUUAUCCCUAUGGUGGGCCAGUAUCUUUAUCUGUCAUUAGUUUUCUCUCUCUAUUAGAGGAUGUCUGGGCAGAGCUCUAACUAUGAAGAGAAGUAAGGGAUGAUACCUGAACUAAGUGGGAGAUGAUUUUUGCCUCUAAAUGGACUGAAGUCAUGCCCAAAUCAUCCAAUAAUCCCCCAUGCCCGCAAACUGUCUUAUCUCCAUGCUUCCAUUUUCUCUUAGCUUUUAGGAUUUUCUCCCCCCCCCCCAGAAACACUUGCUGAGUGUUUUCCCUUCAUAUUUAUCUCCAAGUGAGUCAGAACUUGUGUUUUUCUUAAAUUACACUGUACCUCUUUGUUCAACCAUUCUAAAGAAGUCCUAAGACUCUCUCCUUGUAUUGAUUAGGAAAAGUUACCUUGAGCUGUCUGCUCUUAGGGAGGCAGAAAGGUCACGUUUGUAAUUGCUUUGAAAGUGGAGAAACUUCCAGAACCUUAGAAAAAGGAUUUUUGACCUUAGGGUCUGAACAGUUAAUGGAAUUGUUUGUGGGUGAGGUAAUGUUUUGUUAACUCAGAGUCUGGACCUGUUAUCCCUUGGUAACUUGCUGAGGCAGUCUUUAACUUAGGUGUGUGUUAGCUCCAAGAAUACUUCUGAUUAUAGAAGCAUUGAUCUGAUGUGCAUGAGGGAGGCAUUUCUAACUUUUCCAGUGAGUUCUUAGAUGGACUGAAUGAGUUACAUAAACCCAGGCAUGUCAGAGGAUUUUUUCCUUCUGCCUUUCCACCUCUUUCUGGGUUUUCCCCACUACUGAUUAUGCACACAAGAAAGUAACACAUUUUUGAUUCUCUUUGACUUAAAAUUUCUGCUUUCAGAUCAGCAGCCUCAGGGGUAGAGAUAAAUAGGUCACUUAUUACUGACGUCACAGGGAACUCCGUGAGUGCCUCAGGUGAACCAGGACAGAAUGUGAACAGUAAGAUGUGGAGUACUGUGAUUAAAUUGUAAAUACCCUUAGCUCACUGUGAAUGAUGGAUUCAGGUGAGAAGAAUGCAUGCUGAGAGUUUCUCUUUGAGACACAUAAUUUGGGUUGAAAAUGACUCAUGUGUACUGACUGAUGUAUAUAAUGACCCUCAUGGGGGUGGAUGGCCCAUCCCCACUCUGCUUAUCAGUAAGCCCCAACCCUCAUUCCAAGAUUCCUCACCUCACUGAGAGGGUGUACUUCUUGACCAUAACUGGUUAGACCAGACAAACCAUGAAAUACCUUGGAUUAUUGGUGGAAAGCCAUUAUUACCAGAUCAUUAUCACACCCCCAAAGGGCUUUACUGCAUGCAGUCUCACAUUUAUUACAUUUGUAUUCUACCCUCUCUGGCUACUCCAAAGCAUUCAAGGAAGAAGGGGAAGUUACAAAGAAGCCCAAAACAGUCUUCUCUCUCAGGAGAAUGUCCUGAUAAAGUUCACUCCCAGAUACCAGCGUCUGAUGAACAUGUAAAGCUUAGGUUUCCCAGGCAUGAGCUAAUCUCCCCACAUUCUUCAGAAAACCUGAAUAGCGCUUCCAUUCUGACUUUUGGUGGCAUUGAUUCCUUUAUCCAUCAACUACGCAAUCUGUGCAAUGGUACUCUACCAGUGGCUGUGGACACAGACAUUAACAGUCUUGUUCUUAAAGCCAAGGUUGAAUCUUAAAGAAUUACAUAAGGUCUGUAAUGCAGACAGAGGGGAAAGCUGCCUGUGGGCAAGGUCUUGCAUGACCAGGGGUGGCCAGGAAGGUCAUAAGUUUAUCAUUGUGCCUGGCAUAUAUAGUAGCCUCUUUAUAAAUACACAUGGCUACAUUAAGUGGAUCUGUUUGAGCAAUAAGGCAGAAAUCCAGUUAUUCUGGGUAUUUAACUUGUGGCAUAGUUAGCUUGACAUAUGUCCAAUAGUAUUAAGAUAUGCUUGACACAGGUAACUAUAUACACAAGCCCAUUCAAACAGUAGUUGUACAAUUUCUGGGGGGUAUGUAGGAAAAUGUGGGUGGAGAAACCAUCAUCUCUAUGUAUAUCUUUCCCACUUGGAUUUGUGUCUUUGCAUCAUUUCUAUAAUUAUAAAUAUCUAUUUGACCACUCAAACAGUGUUUGCUGUAAGCCUCCGCCUUUCCCUUUUACUUCCGUGCCCACAGCUCAUCUUGCUGAAAAUGCAUAACAAAAGCAAAUCACUAUGUUUUCAGUGGUUUAGCUGGAAGGAGUUGGUUUGAAUAGUUUCAAGCCUGUACUAUGUAAUUACAACAGAGAAAAAAUGCCAAAAAAUCUAUUAUUAGUGUGGCUAGCAUUGCUUCUUUCUUCCUGCACAUUGGGUAGCCUCAUGUACAAGUACUAUACAAAUAGACAGACUCAAUUUUCAUCAUUUUAUUUGGUUUAUUUCUGAGAUCUUGGCAUAAACUGAGGAAUCUCCCUUGGAAUUGUUUCACUGUUAGAGUGUUUGCCUACCAUGUGAAAAGAGGCAUUCAAUUCCUAACAUCAGCAUCACCUCAAAACAAAAAGGUAAAUAAAAGAUAAAGAAAAAAAAGGAAAAAGAUUAAAAUCAUCAUUGUCUGAGUAAGCCAGUAUUUUCUUUCCAUAAUCAAACAUAAUCUUUCUGUCAGCAGGAUUUUACUUUGUUUUAUAGUGCUGUUUAUUUUUGUGCACACUGUUCCUUUUGUAUCGGAAACAUCAUGAAUACAUUGUUGUAAAAAUAGCGGAACUCAGCUGCACAUUAAUUUCGUUGGUAGAGUCUGGAGUCACAGUGGCUCCGCUGAUCUUGGUUGAAUAUGACUGUCAACAUACAUUUCUCUAUACUCAUCUAUUGUCCAAACUCCCUUUACUAUGUGGACUCUAGCCAGAGUGACAGGCAUCAGUUUCAUCUUGAUGCACUGAUGACUUAAGAAAUGUUUAGCAAGUUGUUGGGGUAUGAGUGGGGAAAGAAAAUCUCAUUUUCAUAGGAGGAAAGAUGGUAUCAGAGGUUAUUUCCCAUAAAUGACCAGGGCUCCACUUGGACUUUCUGUUUUCUUAUGACUUCUGUCUCUGAUAGCAUCAGAACACCCACAUUCCACAUGACCAACUUCAUUUUAGUGAACAUGGCAGCAACUCAGCUCCAACUUUUGCUACUCAGAUCAUGGCUUAUCUCUCACUUUACGAAGGUCAAAACCCACAAGCAGAUCUGAUCCACACUUGUCUUACAAGUUCCAGGAUUGGUGGAAGGUUUUAUUUCUGUGUAAAUAUGAGUUCAUAUUCAAAACUGAUCUUAGUUUUGCUGUUGUUGGUAUGUUCUAUCCUUCUUCCUUCCUCUUCUGGGUAUCUCUGUCUCUCUGUAUCUAUCUCUGUCUCUGUCUCUCUCUGUCUUUCCUCCUUUUAGACAGGAUCUCAUAUAGCCCAGGCUGGCACUGAACUCCCUUUGUAACUUGAGAAUAACUGUCCAUUUCUGAUUCACCUGUCUCCACCUACCACAUGUUGACCUUACAAGAACACACCACCACCACCAGUCCAGGUUUAUGCUUGCUGGAAGCAGAUCUAGGACUUUCUGCAUGCUAGGCAAACAGUCUACCAACCCCUUUAAUCCCCAAACUAAAGAAUUUGCAUUCACAUCUAGAGUCUAUUUCCUUAUUAAAACAUGAGGAAUUAAGCAAGAUUGAUACCAAAUUUUCCCUAUUUGAAAACUAGACAGAGUAAAUCUUCACAGUACUCUUCACAGCCUCCAGAGCUUCCUGCAGCCUACCUCAGUAGGGCCAGGCAUCUUUUGUCCAUCCUCUCUUAAGUUCUUACAUGCAUAUUCUAUAGCUCUUCUUACUUUUAACCUUCAAGUCUCAGGACAUAAUCUACUUGGUCUGGUUCAGCAUUUAUGUUCUCAUACUCCCCUAGAAAUAGUUCUUACUUGGAGAAUUCUUGUAGAGACAGUCUAAAUAAAUUGUGUGACUUCCCUUUAA